rnacentral:rRNA from 1 species
AACGAACGCUGGCGGCAGGCCUAACACAUGCAAGUCGAACGGGUGUAGCAAUACAUCAGUGGCAGACGGGUGAGUAACGCGUGGGAAUCUCCCCAGAGGUACGGAACAACUCAGGGAAACUUGAGCUAAUACCGUAUGUGCCCGAGAGGGCAAAGAUUCAUCGCCUUUGGAUGAGCCCGCGUUGGAUUAGCUAGUUGGUGGGGUAACGGCCUACCAAGGCUACGAUCCANAGCUGAUCUGAGAGGAUGAUCAGCCACACUGGGACUGAGACACGGCCCAGACUCCUACGGGAGGCAGCAGUGGGGAAUCUUGGACAAUGGGCGCAAGCCUGAUCCAGCCAUGCCGCGUGAGUGAAGAAGGCCUUAGGGUUGUAAAGCUCUUUACCCGGGAAGAUAAUGACGGUACCGGGAGAAUAAGCCCCGGCAAACUUCGU